rnacentral:tRNA from 1 species
GGGGCUGUAGCUCAAUGGCAGAGCGCUCGCCUAGCAUGCGUGAGGCACUGGGUUCGAUCCUCAGCACCA